rnacentral:rRNA from 1 species
UACAGAGGUGGCAAGCGUUGUUCGGAAUUACUGGGCGUAAAGGGCGCUUAGGUGGCCUUUUGAGUCAGACGUGAAAUCCCCCGGCUUAACCUGGGAACUGCGUCUGAUACUGGAAGGCUUGAGUUCGGCAGAGGGGGGUGGAAUUCCACGUGUAGCAGUGAAAUGCGUAGAGAUGUGGAGGAACACCGAUGGCGAAGGCAGCCCCCUGGGUUAACACUGACGCUCAGGCACGAAAGCGUGGGGAGCAAACAGG